rnacentral:rRNA from 1 species
UACGGAGGGUGCAAGCGUUAAUCGGAAUUACUGGGCGUAAAGCGCACGCAGGCGGUUGAUUAAGUCAGAUGUGAAAUCCCCGAGCUUAACUUGGGAACUGCAUUUGAAACUGGUCAGCUAGAGUCUUGUAGAGGGGGGUAGAAUUCCAGGUGUAGCGGUGAAAUGCGUAGAGAUCUGGAGGAAUACCGGUGGCGAAGGCGGCCCCCUGGACAAAGACUGACGCUCAGGUGCGAAAGCGUGGGGAGCAAACAGG